rnacentral:rRNA from 1 species
UCGGGAAUAUUGCGCAAUGGAGGAAACUCUGACGCAGUGACGCCGCGUACAGGAAGAAGGUUUUCGGAUUGUAAACUGCUUUAGACAGGGAAGAAAAAAGACAGUACCUGUAGAAUAAGCUCCGGCUAACUACGUGCCAGCAGCCGCGGUAAUACGUAGGGAGCAAGCGUUAUCCGGAUUUAUUGGGUGUAAAGGGUGCGUAGACGGGAAGACAAGUUAGUUGUGAAAUCCCUCGGCUUAACUGAGGAACUACAACUAAAACUAUCAUUCUUGAGUGCUGGAGAGGAAAGUGGAAUUCCUAGUGUAGCGGUGAAAUGCGUAGAUAUUAGGAGGAACACCAGUGGCGAAGGCGACUUUCUGGACAGUAACUGACGUUGAGGCACGAAAGUGUGGGGAGCAAACAGGAUUAGAUACC